CGGGAGGCAGCAGUGGGGAAUAUUGCGCAAUGGGCGAAAGCCUGACGCAGCAACGCCGCGUGGGGGAUGAAGGUUCUCGGAUUGUAAACCCCUUUCGACCGGAACGAAUCUCCUCCUGGUAAACAAUCAGGAGGAUCGACGGUACCGGGAGAAGAAGCCACGGCUAACUCUGUGCCAGCAGCCGCGGUAAGACAGAGGUGGCUAGCGUUGUUCGGAUUUAUUGGGCGUAAAGCGCACGCAGGCGGUUUGGUAAGUCAGAGGUGAAAUUCCGCAGCUUAACUGCGGAACUGCCUUUGAUACUGCCUUUCUAGAGUUUAUGAGGGGGAAGCGGAAUUCCGAGUGUAGAGCCGAAAU
rnacentral:rRNA from 1 species